AAUUCAAUCACCUUGAUAAAGAUAAAUAAUCGACAACUUUUUGUCUCGAUAAAAAAAAAAAAAAAAAAAAAAAAAAACGAUAGUUUUUAUCACUGCUGAAUACAGUAACAUUGUGAUACUACAGUUGCGUUAACAACAGAUGUGGAAAUCGCAUAUGUUUUUGAAACGCGUAUUGUGACCAACGCUAAAACUUUGAAAUCGGAGAAUUUUUAGAUUCAAGUGGUGAAAGCCUCUUAAAUACGUGUCUUGUAUCAUAACACGAGUCUGGAAAGUAUUGAGCAUCUUGUAUUGCGAUACUGGGAAUCAAUG